ensembl:lncRNA
GAUCCGCCCCUACCCUCACCUUAUUUAAGGAACCAGCCCGCUCUGCUCGGCACCUGGUUCUAGUUUUCGAUCUCCGGUGGUUCUGCGGGAGCCUCGAGAAAGACUUGUCUGAAAUUCUCGUCUCACCUCUUGUCAGUUUCUAUUGCCUGAAAAGCCCAAGGACCCAGGACAAACUCCAGCACAUCCCCAGUUGAGCACAGUUGGUGAAGCCAGGUGAUAAUUAUUUCAGAAACAGACCCAGCUCAAAAGCAUGAAAAACUGAUUCUGAAAGAAGACAGAUCAGCAUGCCAGAAAGAAACAUCAUGGGUCAGGAUACCAAGGAAAACUUGUUUAUCACAGGCUCUAGGACAAUCAAGCUUCAGUAGUUGCAGCACUAUGGGGUCUGUAAUCAUGGCUCAGGAGCUCAGUUGUUCUGUGGCACGUGGAAUCCUCUGGACCAGGGACUGACUGCAUGUCCCUGGUGUUAGCAGGGGACUCCCAUCUACUGAACCACCAGGGAAGUCCUUGCUGCUGCUGCUAAGUCACUUCAGUCGUGUCCGACUCUGCGUGACCCCAUAGAUGUCAGCCCACCAGGCUCUCCUGCCCCUGGGAUUCUCCAGGCAAGAACACUGGAGUGGGUUGCCAUUUCCUUCUCCAAUGCAUGAAAGUGAAGUUGCUCAGUCGAGUCCAACUCUUAGCGACCUCAUGGACUGCAGCCCACCAGGCUCCUCCAUCCAUGGGAUUUUCCAGGCAAGAGUACUGGAGUGGGGUGCCAUUGUCUUCUCUGAGGGAAGUCCUUAAUGUACUUUUAUUUGCUUUUUUUUCACUGUACUUUUAAAUUGCUUUUCCUAAUGAAUAUUGAGUGUGUUUUCAUGUGCUAUUGACCAAACAUAUCUUCUUUUGUUAAGAAUCUAUUCUAACUUUUUGUCAUGUUAUUAUUGGGUUGUUAACUUAUUGUUGAAUUUUAAGAUACAUAUAUUCUGGAUAU